rnacentral:rRNA from 1 species
AGAGUUUGAUCCUGGCUCAGGAUGAACGCUGGCGGCGUGCCUAACACAUGCAAGUCGAGCGGACCAAUGUUCAUUUCAGCUUUGCUGAUUUGAGCAACGGUUAGCGGCGGACGGGUGAGUAACGCGUGGGCAACCUGCCCUGUGCAGGGGGAUAACACAGCGAAAGCUGUGCUAAUACCCCAUAAGACUACGCUAUCGCAUGAUAGAGUAGUCAAAGCUUUAGCGGCACAGGAUGGGCCCGCGUCUGAUUAGCUAGUUGGUGGGGUAACGGCCUACCAAGGCGACGAUCAGUAGCCGACCUGAGAGGGUGAUCGGCCACACUGGAACUGAGACACGGUCCAGACUCCUACGGGAGGCAGCAGUGGGGAAUAUUGCACAAUGGGGGAAACCCUGAUGCAGCAACGCCGCGUGAGCGAAGAAGGCCUUCGGGUCGUAAAGCUCUGUCCUAAGGGAAGAAGUAUGACGGUACCUUAGGAGGAAGCCCCGGCUAACUACGUGCCAGCAGCCGCGGUAAUACGUAGGGGGCGAGCGUUAUCCGGAAUCACUGGGCGUAAAGGGUGCGUAGGCGGCCGAGUAAGCCAGAGGUGAAAGGCUACGGCUUAACCGUAGUAAGCCUUUGGAACUACUUGGCUUGAGUGCAGGAGAGGAGAGUGGAAUUCCUAGUGUAGCGGUGAAAUGCGUAGAUAUUAGGAGGAACACCAGUGGCGAAGGCGACUCUCUGGACCGUAACUGACGCUGAGGCACGAAAGCGUGGG